rnacentral:tRNA from 1 species
GGAUUGUGGCUCAGAGGAAGAGUGCUCGCCUCACAUGCAUGAGGCACUGGGUUAGAUCCUCAGCCCA